rnacentral:rRNA from 1 species
AACGAACGCCGGCGGCAGGCUUAACACAUGCAGGUCGAACGCCCCGCAAGGGGAGUGGCAGACGGGUGAGUAACGCGUGGGAACAUACCCUUUCCUGCGGAAUAGCUCUGGGAAACUGGAAUUAAUACCGCAUACGCCCUACGGGGGAAAGAUUUAUCGGGGAAGGAUUGGCCCGCGUUGGAUUAGCUAGUUGGUGGGGUAAAGGCCUACCAAGGCGACGAUCCAUAGCUGGUCUGAGAGGAUGAUCUGCCACAUUGGGACUGAGACACGGCCCAAACUCCUACGGGAGGCAGCAGUGGGGAAUAUUGGACAAUGGGCGCAAGCCUCUUCCAGCCAUGCCGCGUGAGUGAUGAAGGCCUUAGGGUUGUAAAGCUCUUUCACCGAUGAAGAUAAUGACGGUAGUCGGAGAAGAAGCCCCGGCUAACUUCGUGCCAGCAGCCGCCGUAAGAC